rnacentral:lncRNA from 1 species
UGUUCUUGGUUAAUAAAAUAAUUUAGUUUUUUUUAACAAUAGCAUAUGUUAUUUUUCAGGUUCUAUAUCUUGAAACUUUCAAGAAUGAUCAGGCUUCAGUUCUUUCAUGUUAGCAAAUUAUUCUUUUAUCAGAUAUGGCAUAAUUUGGAUGGUGGGAUCAAUUCUAUUUGUACUGUAAAAGGGAACAGGUGGCCAGAGGUUUGGCCAUCCUUUGAUAUUCAGAAAUGAGGCUAAAGGGAAAUCAUCUCCAUUUCUUCUGUUAAGAUGAUAAGUAUGACAGGGAUAUUGAAUCAGCAGUGACAGCAUGAAUAAAAAGAAACCAUCAAAUAUGCUUAUUGACAACAUGACCUCAGACAAGUCACUUAAGCUCUCUGAACCUCAAACUCUUCAUAUCUAAAUGGAGAUAAUGAUUUUAUCUUAAGACUGUUACGAGGAGUAUGAAAAAAAGAUACAUAAAAAACAUUGGCCAGAGCACUUGGUACAUAGUCUCUACAUGAUAG